rnacentral:rRNA from 1 species
GGAAAAUAUUCCUGCAGUCGACGAUUCCUACGGGAGGCAGCAGUGGGGAAUUUUGCGCAAUGGGGGAAACCCUGACGCAGCGACGCCGCGUGGAGGAUGAAGGUUUUCGGAUUGUAAACUCCUUUUGUAGGGGAAAAUAGUGAUGGUACCCUACGAAUAAGCCACGGCUAACUCUGUGCCAGCAGCCGCGGUAAGACAGAGGUGGCAAGCGUUGUUCGGAAUUACUGGGCUUAAAGGGCGCGUAGGUGUCCUGGCAAGUCAGAUGUGGAAGCUUCUUGCUUAACGGGAAAAUGGCAUUUGAAACUGCCGGGAUUGAGUCAGACAGGGGAUGGCGGAAUUCCUGGUGUAGCGGUGAAAUGCGUAGAUAUCAGGAGGAAGGCCGGUGGCGAAGGCGGCCAUCUGGGUCUGAACUGACACUGAGGCGCGAAAGCGUGGGGAGCAAACAGGAUUAGAUACCCUGGUAGUCCACGCCCUAAACGGUGGGUACUAGGUGUAGGGCUCGUGAGGGUUCUGUGCCGCAGGGAAACCAUUAAGUACCCCGCCUGGGGAGUACGGCCGCAAGGUUGAAACUCAAAUGAAUUGACGG